CUAUGGCAGAGGGGCGACCAUC
rnacentral:miRNA from 1 species